rnacentral:rRNA from 1 species
CACGUAGGCACCAAGCGUUGUCCGGAUUUAUUGGGCGUAAAGAGCUCGUAGGCGGUUCGGUUAGUCGGGUGUGAAAACUUUGGGCUCAACCCAAAGCGUGCACUCGAUACUGCCGUGACUAGAGUUCGGUAGGGGAGUGGGGAAUUCCUAGUGUAGCGGUGAAAUGCGCAGAUAUUAGGAGGAACACCGGUGGCGAAGGCGCCACUCUGGGCCGAAACUGACACUGAGAGACGAAAGCUAGGGGAGCGAAUGGG